UUUAAUCUCUCGCCUAAAACCCUAAACGCAAGUGAGUUACCUUCCUCUACCCCUCUCCUUCUCCAAUCCAUGGCACCCAAGAAUCCAAUAUCUGAUCAGCAGCCUCCUCCGCCGGAACUGGAAGAAUCAUCUGAAUCAUCUUCUGAAGAAGAGGAGUCAGUGUCUAAUAAACAUAUUCCUCCGCCAGAGCCAGAAACGAUGAAAGAAUCAUCGGAACAAGAGGAGGAAGAGAGUUCUGAAGAAGAAGGAGAAGAAGAAGGGUCUGAAGAAGAAGAAGAAGAAGUAGGAGAAUCUGAUGUUGAAGAAGAACAAGAUAAACAGAAAUCUUCUCAGAUUCUGCCCGAUGUUCAAAAGCAGACCACCCCUCCACCUCAAUUCCCUGCAUAUUCUGGCAAGGAAGGAGAGGAGGAUGAGGAAUCAGAAAACUCCAUAGAUUCUCCUUCUGCGUCGGAUUUCAGAAUCAAAGUUGUUACUCCUCCAAAGCCCACUUCGAAAGACUCUAAAUCCAUCUCAAAGCACCCCUUUGAAGCUGAGAAAGAUGAUGAAAGCGAUUUGAGAGGUAAGAAAAAGGCUAAAGUUAAUGCUGAAGAGUUCAGGAAAGAUUCGAGUAGUGGAGGUGCUGGGAGGGUGUGGGGUGAGGAGGAUGUAAUCGAUCUUCUUCAAAGCAUGAUUGAUUUUAAGGAUGAAAAAGGGGUUGAUCCUUCUUCUAAUAUGCCUGCUUUUUAUGACUUUGCUAGGGGAAAGUUGCAAUUUGAAUUUUCGAAUACUCAGAUUUAUGAGAAGAUUAGGAGGUUGAGGAUUAAAUUUUUCAAUAAUAUGGAAAAAUAUGAGAAAGGAGGGGAGGACCUUGUUUUCCACAAGCGUCAUGAGGCAGAAACUUUUGAUCUCUCUAAAAAGAUUUGGGGUAAGGGAGGUGAUGGGAUGAUUAAUAAGGGAGUUGAUAAAAAUGUAGAUGGUAAGAGCAACAAUGGCUAUAAUGGCAAAGCAAAAAAAGGUGGUAAAACUGUCCGUUCUGUGGAUAAGAAUGCAGUCAAAGAGUUGGGGAAAGAUGAUCAUGAAGGUGAUUUUGAGUCGAAGUAUCCAUUCUUGAGCCAUUCGAUUGAUAUGGACGUUGGGGGGGGUUUCUUGAGAGAGAAUAUCAGUUUGAUUGGGGACGCCAAGGCAAAGGAUUUGGAGGGCAAGUGGAAGAAAUUCCGCGAAGCUGAAGUAGAGGUUUUAUUGAUGAAGAUGGAUUUGAUGAAGGAGCACACUAAAUUGGUUUUGGAAGGUAUGAAGGAAAGUAAUUAGUGCUUGGUAGGUUAUAUGUUUGGAUUGUAAGGCAUGUCUUUUGGGUUUCAGGUUAUUUAGGCUGGAAAUUUCAUGCCACAUAUUCUUAGUCUGGCCAUGAAAACCUUUUGGUGCCAAUUUUGUUAAAUCGGGUUUAUAAGCUCUUUUGGACCUAGUAAUUGUGCUUCCCUGUUACUAGAAGUAGAAAGUUAACUGGAACUUACCUUCUUUUCCUAACUUGGGUGUAAGUGAUCGAGCCCAUAUUAGCUAGGAAUGGUGUUCACGUACAAUGAACCCUUAGAUCAUUCCAUGUAUUUUUUCAUUGAUUUAUCUUCUAGGUUAUGCAUCAUAAAAUGUUUUUCAGGAUGGUGGACUACCAUUCACUGUUUUUUCCU